GCCGAGGUGACGGAACUGGCAGACGUGCUGGACUCAAAAUCCAGUGGUGGUGACAUCGUGUGGGUUCAAGUCCCACCCUCGGUA
rnacentral:tRNA from 1 species